AUCCCCGGCCCAGCCCUGUGCUCAUCAGAGGAAAAGGACCCCCGAUGUAAAAGAGGACGCAUAGUGUAGAAGCAGCCAGAGGAUGAACAGUGUACUUCCUGGGCUGGCAAGGGCAUACGGAACUCCGUGGAAGCUGCAGGAGGAGGAACAGCAGAAGAAAGGGCACAGACGAAUGAGAGGCAAUAAUUUGUUUGUGGGACCUCGCGUCUGAAGCCCCCACGGGAGAAGCCUGGUGAGAAACGAGCCAGUGGAAGAACAAGACAGCUCCUGCCAAACCUGCCCAGGCAUUUUAACCAAUUCAGGUUCUUAUUCCACAGGGUACAUCGGAGAGGCACAGUUUAUGACUGAAAUCUCAGCAGGUAGAAGGCUGGAGAAGGAUUAAGAGAUCAACCACAGUCCACCCUACGUAUCGUAUCGGGAGUGAGUCUCGAGCAAACAAAGAAGUUAACCAAUAACAAGAGCCACUGGGGUUGCAGUGUGGAAGUUAGUGUAAAGGAAGAAAUCAGAGGCAGGAGGAAUUGCUGAUAAAGUACUAGAGUCACUCCAGGUAGAGGAGAAGCUGAGGAGACCGGGCAGGAACCAGGUUGAUCCUUCAAUCAAGUGCAAUUCCAUAGAUGUAGAACCGUGACUGAGUUUACUAUCUACUCCACUUUAAAUAUUUGCUGAGCAAUAUAGGAAAAUAUAAAGAACAGUAUAUGUCUUCUUCUUUCCCUUAAAGUCCUGGUUGAGAAGCCACAAAGAGGAAAAACACAUUUGGUAGAGAAUUAGCAAGCAGUAUUAUGACUGGACGCAUGACUCCAACAUUCCCUGGGGCCUGGGACAGAGAGAAAUGGCAACAGAAACUCCCAGGCUUCCAAGCUACAUAAUGCUGAUAUGCAUUUUAUAACUCCACUCUGCUGGGGAACUAGC
rnacentral:lncRNA from 1 species